UAUAUAUAUAUAUAUAUAACAUCGGAGGGGGGUGUUUUCAAAAUACCCCCUCACAAACUAACUUUUUGGGCCUUUCAAGGGCUGUGAUUGAGUUGGAGUUUUAAACCAAGGGCCAAGAUCAAACCCAUUCUCUUCACUUCCCCCUCAAAACUGUCCAGUCAAGAGACCAAACCCCAGGAAAAAAAAAAAAAAAAAAACCCCAUUUUCUCUUCAAAACGUGACUCUAUCUCUCUCCCUCCCCCCCCCCUCUCUCUCUCUCUCUCUCGCCCCUGCUUCUCUUCUCCGCGGUCCACCGAAAACCAAGAAUCUCUCUCUCUCUCUCUCUCCCUCUCUCUCUCUCUCUCUCUCUACGCCAAUAAUCAAAGGGGUGCGGAUGAAGUCUCUUGAUGCUUGAGAUGGGAGUAAUAUGCGCCCCUACUUUUGAACUCUGCAGAUGCAUAGUGGGUUUCAUGAAAUCAGUGCUCAGAAUAUUAUAGGCUAACCAAAAGGUUUGUUCGACCAUCGCUAACUAAUCUCCCGUCGAAGUUUGGGGGUUUCUUUUCUAUUGAAGGAGAUAUCGCAGGAGAACAAUUCGCUUCACUCUUUCAAAACCUCUUAAGCAACUACUAAGCCUCCAUUCAAUCCACAAGCUAUGGACAAUGUCUUCAGAAACUUCAGUGUUGUGCUUCGAGAGGAACGCGAUAUGAAUAUGAUCCGCUUUCUUAGGGACAAAGAAAUGGAGCAUGCAAAGUCCAAGGGAAAAGAGAAAGUCAUCUAUGCAAAUAAGAGAACAGUUAAUUCAUAUCCGGGAAUUGGACAUCUUCGAGAUAAAAAAUGUCGGUGUUGUGAUCCAGGAGGAACGAGACCUUGAAAUGGUGCAGGAAAAGUCCAAGGAAAAAGAGAAAUUAAUCCAUGCAAGUAAGGAAAAAGAAAAUGCAUUUCCAAUGGGAACUAAUGAUAGCACAAUAUCAGAAGCUUCCUUGGCCCAACAUAAAAGGCAAGAACGCGAAAGAAGUGAAAGAAAUCAACCUUCUUAUCAAUCAGGCCAAUGCUUGCGAUGAGAGAGGGAUAGAGCGCUAUCGUGCAUCCAAUCGAUAAAAGCCACGUACUUCCCUUCUCUAACACCUACCCGUCGAGACACCAUGGAGCAUGGAGCAGUUACAGUCUAGCAAACCUAUAAGCGACAGAUGGUUAGUCGUACUUCAUGUUCGAUCUUUGCGUAGAGCACAUCCUGGGCUACACAAAAUGAAAGGAUAAAUAUUUGUAGAUCUACCCCUUCGAAUCAACUCCAUGAAGAACAAGAGACAGCUAUGGAAUUAGAGGCUUCUGAUCUGUAAGUAUGAAACUACCUUAUUACGCAGUUAGCUGGUGUGCUUUGAUGUACUUAUGUAGUUAAAUGCAGAGCACUGGCUGGUGUGCUUAAAUUUGCUCUUAUGUUGUUACAUGUGUUUAGAUUUUGAGCUUGAUUUAGUUAAUGCAAAGCACUGGCUGGUGUGCAUUUAUAAAUGUUGGAUGGUGUUUUUUGUUUUAUCAAGUCUUAUGCGUUUUGCUGGGGAGAGGAAAGCUGUUAGAGAUUUUAAGAAAGGGAAGAGGAAGCUAGGGGGAUCAUCUGUUAAGUUCAUAACUAUGCACAUAGAGAUAUAUGAAAAAAGAUUACGAUUUUU